GGCCCCAAAAAUGAAGACGGAGGCCCCGAAAAUGAGGAUGGAGGACAAAAAGAGGAGGAAGAAGGCCAAAAAGAAGAGGAUGGAGGCCAAAAAGAGGAUGAAGGCCCCAAAAAUGAGGAUGAGGGCCCCGAAAAUGAAGAGGGGGGCCCCAAAAAUGAGGAUGAAGGCCCCAAAAAUGAGGAUGAAGGCCCCAAAAAUGAAGAGGAAGGCCAAGAAGAGGAGGAUGGAGGCCCCAAAAAUGGGGAUGAAGGCCCCGAAAAUGAGGAUGAGGACCCCGAAAAUGAGGAUGGGGGCCCUGAGGAGGAGGAAGAGGAGGAGGAGGAGGAGGAGGAAGAUGAAGGCCCUGAGGAGGAGGAAGAUGACGAUGAUGAGGAAGAUGAAGACCCUGGGGAUGAAGUUGAUGAUGAAGAGGAUGAAGAUGAAGGCCCAGAGGAGGAAGAUGAUGAUGAUGAUGAAGGCUCCGAGGAGGAAGAUGAUGACGAUGAUGAUGAAGAUGAAGGCCCUGGAGAUGAAGAUGAAGGCCACGAGGAGGAAGAUGAUGAAGAUGAAGGCCCUGGGGAUGAAGAUGACGACGAUGAUGAUGAAGAUGAAGGCUCAGAGGAGGA
rnacentral:lncRNA from 1 species